rnacentral:rRNA from 1 species
AUUGAACGCUGGCGGCAUGCCUUACACAUGCAAGUCGAACGGUAACAGGUCUUCGGAUGCUGACGAGUGGCGAACGGGUGAGUAAUACAUCGGAACGUGCCUAGUAGUGAGGGAUAACUACUCGAAAGAGUGGCUAAUACCGCAUGAGAUCUACGGAUGAAAGCAGGGGAUCGCAAGACCAUGUGCUUCUAGAGCGGCCGAUGGCAGAUUAGGUAGUUGGUGGGAUAAAAGCUUACCAAGCCGACGAUCUGUAGCUGGUCUGAGAGGACGAUCAGCCACACUGGGACUGAGACACGGCCCAGACUCCUACGGGAGGCAGCAGUGGGGAAUUUUGGACAAUGGGCGAAAGCCUGAUCCAGCAAUGCCGCGUGCAGGAUGAAGGCCUUCGGGUUGUAAACUGCUUUUGUACGGAACGAAAAGCCCCGGGUUAAUACCCUGGGGUCAUGACGGUACCGUAAGAAUAAGCACCGGCUAACUACGUGCCAGCCGCCGCGGUAA